rnacentral:misc_RNA from 1 species
GAGAGAGAGUGUGUGUGCGCGUGGAAAGCGAUGUUUACAUUUGACGAAACUUAAUUAGGCCCUUGGAGAAGUUAAAUUUAUAAAUUUAGAUUAAAAAACAAGAAAAUUAAAUCAAUAAAUUGAAACUCAAAAUUAGGAAAUUAAAUUUUUUAUUUUUUAGUUAAAUAAAAAAAAAUUAAUAUAUAAAUUUUAAUUUUUAAACUUAAAUUUUUGAAUUAAUUUAUAAAAAAUUAAAAUAUAUUAAAUUAAAUUUUCUUAAUAAAUAUGAUAAUUAAA